rnacentral:rRNA from 1 species
CCUUACCAUCCCUUGACAUCCGGGUCGCGGGUGCGGAGACGCAUCUUUCAGUUCGGCUGGAUCCUGGACAGGUGCUGCAUGGCUGUCGUCAGCUCGUGUCGUGAGAUGUUGGUUUAAGUCCCGCAACGAGCGCAACCCUCGCCUUUAGUUGCCAGCAUUCAGUUGGGCACUCUAGAGGAACCGCCGGUGAUAAGCCGGAGGAAGGUGGGGAUGACGUCAAGUCCUCAUGGCCCUUACGGGAUGGGCUACACACGUGCUACAAUGGUAGUGACAAUGGGUUA